UACGUAGGGUGCAAGCGUUAAUCGGAAUUACUGGGCGUAAAGCGUGCGCAGGCGGUGAUGUAAGACAGAUGUGAAAUCCCCGGGCUCAACCUGGGAACUGCAUUUGUGACUGCAUCGCUGGAGUGCGGCAGAGGGGGAUGGAAUUCCGCGUGUAGCAGUGAAAUGCGUAGAUAUGCGGAGGAACACCGAUGGCGAAGGGCAAUCCCCUGGGCCUGCACUGACGCUCAUGCACGAAAGCGUGGGGAGCAAACAGG
rnacentral:rRNA from 1 species